UAACUGAAGAGUUUGAUCAUGGCUCAGAUUGAACGCUGGCGGCAGGCCUAACACAUGCAAGUCGAGCGGGCGAGGUUGCUUCGGUAACUGAGCUAGCGGCGGACGGGUGAGUAAUGCUUAGGAAU
rnacentral:rRNA from 1 species